CAAAGGCACCACCCCUGGGUUCCUGGCCUUGAGCACCCACAGAGGGAGCAGGAGGGUGACCAGUUUCCUGCUUUCCUGUGAGAGUUCUGGCCACAGAGCCCAGGGUACUGUUGCAUUGUCCAAGGCGGGGGACAGAGGCAAGAGACUGAGGACAGCCAGGAGGCUGCCAGGCCAAGUGCCCUGUUCUGCGACUACAUGGAUGCCUGAGACUGGCGACUGCAGGAAGCAGGGAAGUUCCGGGGCACAAUGCUGGCAUUGUCGUGGGUCUGGUCCUCGUGUGAGUGGCAUGACACCCCUAAAUGUGACCCAGCGCCAACAAGCAGGUCCUGCACACCCAGCAGGUGAAGCCCUGGGACACAAACCAGAGCCAGCUCCAGCCCUGGAAGGCAGGGAGGUAGAGGACUGGGAGUCAAGUCCACAUGAGCAAGCAGAGCUGGCGAGGUCCUCCGUGGAAAGAGGACAAAGGAGCAGGGCCGGGGGACACCCUGGACCUCCCUACAUCGGCGGUUUGCAGGCCGCCCUGGACCUCAGGAGCCAUGUCUGGAUGGAAAUGCAGACUGAGCUUUGCCAGCAAAUGUGACUUCUCAGAGUCUUUGCAGUGAAAACAACAGCUAUUGUUUUCUUCUCAAAGUGGACUUUGAGAAACGGCCAUUUGCCCUGAUGGUCAGGGGAAUCGUCGCCAUCCCUCCUCCACGUCCCCUAGGAGCGGCUUCUCAACAGAACCGAGGAUCCUGGUGAAACGCAGGUGUUGACCUGGGGACCUGGUGGGAGCCACAAGGCCACGGUUCUCCCAGUCCUUGUGAAGUCGCCCUGCCGACCACACUCAGACUGCAGGGCCACACCAGUGGCUCUCACACCAAGCAGGGCCAGGGUCUCUAUCUCCGGGGGUCUUGGUGACAAACUCAGCAGGCCCCGGCUCAUUGCUCCACUUUUCACAGCCCCCGUUACCCACACUCAGCACAGCCUGAAAAUAUUAAAUGGAACAUUCCAGAAGUAAUCAAUACAUGGGCUCUACAUUGUCCCUUUCUGAGAGGCGUGAUAACAUUCCACCCUCACUCGCUCCACCCUGCCUAGGACACGAACUGGGUCUCUGUUCAGCCUUUGCAGGCCGUGUAUGCCACCUGCCCAAUGGUCACUUGAUUGUCAUCUCCGCGACCAGAGGAGAACGAGGCUUUCAUGGUGCUUGUGUUUAGGGUCCUUUAAUUGACUUCACAGUGGCCUAUUUUAUUGUUCUAUUAACAGCUUUUCUGCCUUGUUAUUAAAUAUUCCUGUUAUUCUUGCACAUGUAUGAUUGGCGGGUUAAACUCUAUCCUGGGGGUUUUCACACAUGACAAAGCACGGUCCACCGAGCUUUGGAGCCAUAUCCUGCUGGGGCUGCUAUGCCCGGGAGCAGAGCCCACCCUGCACUGCUAAUCCUGGCAGGUCAGGAUGAGGUGGGCCCCGAGGCGGUGCUGAGCCUGCCGGUCUGACUUACGAUGGAUAAAGUUUACGGGAAUUUGUGUGCUUCUUCCAAGAAUUGGAAGUGGGAAAGUCAUCAUGCACACUGAUAAAAUUCAAGUUCACACAGUGGAGAAGCUUGAGACUGCGUGGCUUCUCUCCAGUGGCUGCUGUGUCUGGGGUCAGGCACUGGUGGUGGCCACUCAUUUCCUCAGAGCUGUCCAUUGUUAAUUAUUUAUUCUUAGAAGCUACAGCUCCCAGGGCGCCUGGUCGUCUUUAGUCCGUCCUGGGAGUCCUAGACAGCCUGCAGAGGCUGAGCGCUCUCUCCCUUGGCAGCAGGGGGCAGCAACGCUCCCUGCCCGUUCCGGCUGCUGUGGCACUAAGAGGGCAACACAAACAGGUCAGCAAGCACCUGGUCAUUGUCUGAACAAAACUGGGGGGUCUUGGGAAGAAUGUGAAAUUUACAACGCACCUCAAUUUCCCGGAAAACAGCUGUUCCAGAGUUUAGACGCCUUAACUCUGAAAGACAGCAAGCAUGCAGAAAUUAAGUGCAAAUUGGGCAAGAAAUAAGGAAUCUUAAAAUCUCUGGGUCUUACCUAUCUUUUUAUUUAAAAUGAAUCUCAUUUUGACCCCCUGGGAAAUAUUGAUGAGCUGUGAAUCAUGUUGUACAAACAGAGCACAGCUGCAGUAAGUGACCCUUUGCCUUCCACUGGACUGGAACCUGUCAGUCCUCCGGGUCACCUGUCCUCCAGCUGCUGCUGCCUGGGGGUGGCUGGUUUUCCCCACCCUAUCCCCUGGGCUGUGGGAGGAGGAAGCUCCUCCCUGUCACUCACAAGUCUCUGUGCACCUUCUCCUGCCAGCCCUGAACCUUUCCCAUGCUGUCCCAAGGAUCAGGCCCGGUGGACAGACCUUAGACAGCAAGCACUGAGGCCUCCCAGUCCCGCUCUGUCACCGCCUGUAAGGUGCCCUGGCACCAGAUUGACCCCUAGGGGCCUGGCCUCUCCCUCACUCCCCUAUGAUGCCUCCACCUCCUUCCUUACCCAGAGCCUCCUGGAAGGCAGAGUUGUAUUCUUCCGAGCCUCAGGGUCACCCUGCCCCUCUUCCCAUUUCCAGCCAGACUCUUCCAUGCCAAGUGCUCUGUGACACCUCUGGACCACACCUCAGGAUGCUGGCUUCGUCCACGGCCCCUCUCUUCCUCCCGAUGCUGCACAGCCACCGCGGGUCCCUGAGUCUGGGCUGCAAUCCCACUCCACAUGCGUUCAGUGCUACCACGCACACACCUCUGGCUGCAGAAGAUGGCCUCGGGCAACCUCAUUCCACCGACUGACAGCUUGGGUGAGGCUCCAGAUGUGCAGCCCUCCAGCUGCAGCUCGCACCUUGCAGCCUGGUCACACACACUGUGGAGUCCAAGCAGCACUGAGUGACGCCCUGCCGCCUGCUGCUCCCCCAGGGUCAGGGAAAGGAGGGGAGACACCAGAGCUCGCCUAGCACAGCGGACCUCCGAAAUUCAUGGGAGUUUCAUUCCGACACACACAAGUCAUGAAAAACCCACAUUUCAGAUUUGGUCAGGAAAAAUGCCCAUAAAUGCCUCUUUUGAUAGUUUAAACCCUAAAUAUGUUCUGUCUCCCAUAGUUAGUAAUUUAACUUAAUAAAAUACUAUUAAUAAAAUCUUAGAAGGUGCAGGGCAUUUUGGUGGCAUCUCAGGCACCUCAGAGCUUUAAGAACAAAGCCGAGAACACCCAAGACAACUGCACCGCUAUGAUGCAGGAGAGGGGCACAUCGGCCGAGGGGGCCACAGGGCAGCAGCCAAUCAGCAGCAAGGGGAACUGAACAAUGCUCUCAAACUGGCUGCUUGCAAAUGCCCCCCCCCCAAACUGUGAAGAUUAGUUGUGGUUUCCAUGAAAUUGCGGAAUUUCAGGGAACAAUUAUUAGUUAGGUUCUUAGGAAAAUUCCACACAGGACUGAAGCCACCAACCCUGAACCGUGACUUCUCAGGGAUCUGCUGUAUACAGAUGGAACCAGCGGAGCCAGCAGCCCAACCUGGACAACGGGCAUCAAAUACUGGCUACCGCUGCCUCGGGGACUCAGUCUGGGACAGGAUGGCAUGGCAGGUGGGUGAGUUACUUGCCAUCGGGCAGAGGGUGUCCCUGUGCACGUGGACAGCUGGGCUGUCUAUCUGGGAUGGACAGGAUGGAUAAACAGCCCGUUGCUGGUUUGGGAGGUAAAUCACAAGCUGGUAUAGUCCUUACUCCCUGGUGCAGGCUCCUGGAUAUCGGUAGAUGGUCGGGAUGCACCCGUACUAAUGCCUUCCGAGCCCCUCACGUGGCAUGCUCAGGGCUCACUGGCUGAGGCACAGGUAGGUGCCUUGCGAGGUGCAGGACUUCCUGGACUUCCGGGUGCCCAGGUGUUCCCCUUUUCUCCUCCCCUGGCCUCUCAUGGACUCUCACCACUGGGGGACCCAUGUCAGAUGGAGUGGGAUUUGUUAUUUGGGCGACUGCCCCUGCAGUGGAUUCAGUUUAAAGCUACCUUCUCUGGGUGACUCUGUGGUAGAAGGUGUGUGAUCCCAAAUGCAUGUCAAACCCUCAUCCCCAAUGCUACCCUGUGAAGUGGUGGGACCAUUAGCAAGUGACUAGGUCAUGCGAGUGUGAAGUGGUGGGACCAUUAGCAAGUGACCAGGUCAUGAGAGUGAGGCCCCAGGAUGAGACUCAUGUCCUGAUGGAGAGGCCCUGAGAGACCCUCCCUGUCCAGCACCAUGGACACCAGGAGCAGGUAUGAGCCAUGAAGUGGACAGUGGGCCCUGAGGACCACAGACCUGCUGGGCUGUCAUCUAGGUCCUCCAGCUCCAGGUUGCAGGGAACGACUAUGUAUGUUUGGUUUGGGUUUUGGUUUUUCACUCUAGCAGGUGAUGGCCCUGAAGUUCCAUGAAUCCCUGGGCUCUCCCAGGGCACAACUAGAAGUGUAAACACGAAGAUGAUCUUCAGAAACAGCUACGGCCACCACUGCUGCUUGGCUGUCCUGUGUCCUUUUCUCCAGGGUAACAGAGCCCUCAAACCAUCCAGGGAGUGCUCGCUCUGGGUUGGGAGUGGGAUGUCCCGGGGAGCGUGUUUACUGACUGACUUCUGUUCCCACAGUAUCUUGGCACAUGUUCUUUGUUUUGGUUUGCACCCUGUUACUUCUCCCAGUGAUGCUUCCUGACCUCGGCCACACUCGUGGGUGACCUUGGCCAGCACAGGGCUGUGGGUUCUUCGUAUUUGUGCACAAAUAAGCCAGCAAAUUGAACAGUGGGAAACCAUACUGAACCCUGGGAUGGAGAGACCACUUGAGGAAAACAUCUUAGAAACGCCGCCUGUGCUCUCAGUGAUCUGGAGGGAAACAGCUCUGAACCUUACAGAAGGAUAGGACCAUGUGUCCAAGGGCCAGACCAUGUCGUAUUCCACAUUCUGCAGGGCAGGAUGAAAUGAAAGCAGGAAGUGGGCAAAGCCUGCUUUGUGUGGCUGCUGCAUCUCUCCAUCCUCAUCCUUCCCGACUCCUGCACCCUGCAUCUUGCCCGUUGACAGCCGCCUUGUUAACUCAGCUGAAUGGGAGCUCACCACAGCCUGCAGGCUGGCCCUCCAACCCUCCCCACGUCUAACCAAAGGCCAUUCUUUAACCCUAGGAAGGGUGGCCAGCAGGGAACACAGACUGCACUUCUGGGAGCCACAUGGACAUGAGGACCAGGACCGCUGCCCUGUCACUGUGACAUGGGGGCAUAUGCCCUAUGCCAACACUUCUCUGCCCACAAGGGUCUCGUGUGACAUGUAUGAGUGUGCAGACUACAGCAGGAGCUGCUGCUCUGCUAUCAGAGAGCUUGCAAACAGCAUGUGUGUGUGUGUGCAAGUGUGCAUGUCUGUGUCUCUUCCGGUUUUCUUUUUGUUUUAACAUUAAAGGCAAGACUUAAAAUGUGGGAACCAUGGGAACAAAGAAAGUGUUUCCAACCCACUUCCACUGAAGCCAAGAACCCGGGGAGACUGAUUCACCAAAGGCACCUGACCAGCACACGAGGCCCUGGCACCCAGGUGGCUCCCACCAUUGCCCUGGGGCACCCAGCUGUGCACUGGUUGGGGUCAGAGGGCUGCAAAUUGAAGGACAAUGAUGUGAUACCCAGCAACAGCACCACACCCUGUUGUAUUUGUGACAUCUCAGUGACCAACCCAGAAAAGGAGGUUAGGCACCCUCAUGGAGCAAGCGGUGAUAUCACAGUUCUCAGAACUCAGUUCCAGGUAAAUUCAGGUCCAAACUACAGAAAGCGAAAAGCAAAGAUUUAGAAAGCAACACAGGAAAC